UACAGGGGGUGCAAACGUUGCUCGGAAUUACUGGGCGUAAAGGGCGCGUAGGCGGCCACCGCAAGUCGACUGUGAAAUCUCCGGGCUUAACCCGGAAAGGUCAGCCGAUACUGCGGGGCUAGAGUGCAGAAGGGGCAACUGGAAUUCUCGGUGUAGCGGUGAAAUGCGUAGAUAUCGAGAGGAACACCUGCGGCGAAGGCGGGUUGCUGGGCUGACACUGACGCUGAUGCGCGAAAGCUAGGGGAGCGAACGGG
rnacentral:rRNA from 1 species